AAGUCGUAACAAGGUUUCCGUAGGUGAACCUGCGGAAGGAUCAUUAACACGUUCCAAAACGUAUCAACCAAACGGUUAAGUGCAAACUUAUUCCCUCAUACAGGGAGCUGUUCAUCUGAAUCUAGUGAUGGGUAAGUCUUCGGGCUUACAGAAGCAGAUGAGCUAGGGUCUCGAGCCCAAAGUUCCUUAUGUGAGGCUUUCCUUUUUUUUCCCAUCACUUCCAACUAACUAAUUUCACCCCUUUAAACCAUUUGACUAAAUCUUUCGAACGAAGAAAUUUGUUUGGAAUUGUAUAUCUAACACUGUACAACUCUUAGCAAUGGAUAUCUUGGUUCUC
rnacentral:misc_RNA from 1 species